GACGGAGGAUGCAAGCGUUAUCCGGAAUGAUUGGGCGUAAAGCGUCCGCAGGUGGCAGUUCAAGUCUGCUGUCAAAGACCGGGGCUUAACUUCGGAAAGGCAGUGGAAACUGAACAGCUAGAGUAUGGUAGGGGCAGAGGGAAUUCCUGGUGUAGCGGUGAAAUGCGUAGAGAUCAGGCAGAACAUCGGUGGCGAAGGCGCUCUGCUGGACCAUAACUGACACUCAGGGACGAAAGCUAGGGGAGCGAAUGGG
rnacentral:rRNA from 1 species